UACGAAGGGGGCUAGCGUUGUUCGGAAUUACUGGGCGUAAAGCGCGCGCAGGCGGUUCUCCAAGUCAGGGGUGAAAGCCCGGAGCUCAACUCCGGAACUGCCAUUGAAACUGUUGAACUUGAGGACGAGAGAGGUGAGUGGAAUUCCCAGUGUAGAGGUGAAAUUCGUAGAUAUUGGGAAGAACACCAGUGGCGAAGGCGGCUCACUGGCUCGUAUCUGACGCUCAGGCGCGAUAGCGUGGGGAUCAAACAGG
rnacentral:rRNA from 1 species